rnacentral:rRNA from 1 species
AUUGAACGCUGGCGGCAGGCCUAACACAUGCAGGUCGAGCGGAUGAAGGGAGCUUGCUCCUGGAUUCAGCGGCGGACGGGUGAGUAAUGCCUAGGAAUCUGCCUGGUAGUGGGGGAUAACGUCCGGAAACGGGCGCUAAUACCGCAUACGUCCUGAGGGAGAAAGUGGGGGAUCUUCGGACCUCACGCUAUCAGAUGAGCCUAGGUCGGAUUAGCUAGUUGGUGGGGUAAAGGCCUACCGAGGCGACGAUCCGUAACUGGUCUGAGAGGAUGAUCAGUCAAAAUGGAAAUGAGAACAGGGCCCGAAUCCUAACGGAGGGCGGCGGGGGGAAUAUUGGAACAAGGGGCGAAAGCUGAACCCGGCAUGGCGGGGGGGUGAAGAAAGUCUUCCGAUUGGAAAACAAUUUAAGUUGGGAGGAAGGGGAAUAAGUUAAAAACCUGCUGUUUUGAAGUUAACAAAAGGAUAAGGCACGGCUAAACUCGUG